rnacentral:rRNA from 1 species
AACGAACGCUGGCGGCAGGCCUAAUACAUGCAAGUCGAACGCCCGUAGCAAUACGGGAGUGGCAGACGGGUGAGUAACGCGUGGGAAUCUACCCAGUGGUACGGAACAACCAAGGGAAACUUUGGCUAAUACCGUAUAAGCCCUUAGGGGAAAGGAUUUAUCGCCAUUGGAUGAGCCUGCGUCCGAUUAGCUAGUUGGUUGGGUAAAGGCUGACCAAGGCAUCGAUCGGUAGCUGGUCUGAGAGGAUGAUCAGCCACACUGGGACUGAGACACGGCCCAGACUCCUACGGGAGGCAGCAGUGGGGAAGUAUUGGACAAUGGGCGGCAAGCCUGAUCCAGCAAUGCCGCGUGGAUGAAGAAGG